rnacentral:misc_RNA from 1 species
UCACUGCUUGCGCAGGCAGUCUGACUAGAGUCCCCGGCUCGACCCGCUGGUAACUAGUCAUAGGGGUUGCGUUCGUUGCGGGACUUAACCCAACAUCUCACGACACGAACUGACGACAGCCAUGCAGCACCUCGCCAGCGGCCCUUUCGGGAGGCCCCCUUUCAGGGGCGGUCCGCUGGCGUUCGAGCCCAGGUAAGGUUCCUCGCGUUGCAUCGAAUUAAGCCACAUGCUCCACCGCUUGUGCGGGCCCCCGUCAAUUCCUUUGAGUUUCACCCUUGCGAGCGUACUCCCCAGGUGGGAUGCUUAUCGCGUUAGCUUAGGCGCCCACCCCGAGGGGCGGACACCGAGCAUCCAUCGUUUAGGGCGUGGACUAC